rnacentral:lncRNA from 1 species
CCUGAUAACCUGGGGCCUGAUAAAAAGAUUCUUAAUCUCAGUCAGACUUGCCUGGUCAAAUAAAGGUUAAUAAAUAAAUAGAUCCACAAGUGGCUCAAAACAGAACUCCAGGUUUGUUUUUGAUGAGAGACCAAUAUUGUAACAUGGUAAAAAGCUCUAAAAAAUAGACUUUGCGUAAUACCCCUAACCCAGGCAACCAAACUACUCUGCUCUAUUUAUUCUAUUUCUAGUAGCCAAAAAGAGCAGAGCGAAAAGAAUCAAACAUGACAGCGCACAAGUGGCUCAAAUGUACACUUUGAGGCGAUUUUUCCAGGAAAAAAAGGCACUGUAUCAUCAGCAUGUUCUUUUACUUUUCUGAACACAGAAAUAGCCUAUUUUAAAAUACUGAUAUUGAUCACCUGCCAGGACUUAAGAACAAUUAGCAUGAGCUACAAGAGCUAGCGGUAACACAUCAUGCAAGGCGCUAUCCUGACAAAAUGACUACAGAUUGUUUGUUGAUAUCUGGCAAAGGCAAAAUAUAAAAGAUAAUUGACCGGAGUUUACGGACGGCAAAGGUAAUUGGAACAAAAGCACAUUUCUUGUUCCCGGUUUCAGGCGGUGGAUUACCUGGGAGACCAGACUCUGGAGAAGAUGUCUGAGUUCCUGGACAGAGGCGGAGUCCUCCCAGAGGAGCCUGAGGACGAGGAAGAUGACGAGGAUGAUGAUGAAGAAGUAGUUGAACCAGAGAAAGAAACAGAUGAGGAGGAAGUCGCGCCUACAGAGUCGCCGGCCAACUCAACAGGCAAAGACGAGCUCUGAACAGUCCCUGUAUUUCCAUUCAGUUAUAUCCUCUUAAUACCUUUCCUCUUAAUAUAGAACAUUUUGGUAUGACUUUUUUUUUAAUUAUUGGUGCCAAACAUGUUACCCCCACCCCUCCCCCAUGGAUGACAGCAAUGCUACAUGACACAAAGAUAUAAAAAAUCAAAAUAUAUUAUCACUGUUGAAAUGUUGUCUGACAUUUACAGACGCUAAGUUUCAAGCAAACAUGCCCCCAUUCAAAAUGUGUUGUCAUAUAACCUAUUGGACACAUUUAAUUUAUUGUCAGUAAUUGACUUUUGUGAAACUGAACAUCGUCUCAGCACAAUUUGUUGUUUAUUUGUUUUGAAUAAAAUAUGGUUUGAUAAAAUGUUCAAUUGAAAGCUUGGAAUGUGUUUUGUGCGACUGAUAGGUGUCACAUGACUUCAACUUUAUAAUAGGCUAUAUUUGUUGUUUCUUGCAUACAGUGUUUUCAUCAGUUAACUCCAUAACAAAGGGCAGAUAUUUGCAUUAAUUUGAGAUGAAUUGCCAUAAUAUGAUAUUAGCCACUGGGUCUUGAUCAAGAUAAAAUCAGGACUAAACCGACUAAUAUAGACCUAUAUCCGACUAAAUUAUGUCUAAUCUGGACAUAAACUACAUCUAAACCAGAAUAAUAACUUCAUGAAUGCGAUACUAAAUAUGCAUGACCCUCUUACCCCAGCCUAAACCGAGCGCAUCUUCUCUAGUUCUGCUCUACCCAAAUCUAAAA